rnacentral:miRNA from 1 species
UUUUUUUUUUUUUUUUUUUUUAGGACCGCUCGUACAUUUUAUAUUAAUCGAGUCUUGUACACGUUAUACAGCGACCAGGUUAAUAUAAAAUGUACGAGCGGUCCUAAAAAAAAAAAAAAAAAAA